UCUGGAGGCGUGUGUCUGCAUGUGGACAAGAACCAUGUCUCAGUGGAGUUCUGCACAAAAUGUGCAGAGAGUGCAAGCACAUCGCUUAAAAUUUUCUUCUAGGUAAUGGUUGAUCUACCAAGCGAGAUGAGUGGCUUUCUGAACACCUUUACCUGCUUGACUCCAUGUGGAUUCUGCUGGUGGAAGUUGAAGAGGCUGGACAAGCUGCUGUCAACGUGGCCUGGUAUUUUUGUAAAGGUAGUAUCGGUAACGAAUGGUAUAUGUGAUCUUAUUUCACCAAUACUCCACAGUAUCUUUAGCUCUUUGUCAUCGCAGCUCAUUUGUUGGAGUUAACUGCAGCUGCUCCAUUAAUCGGAGUAAAGCUAUAUGAGAGGCAUACGUCUCCUUAUCUCUGGUCUAUACUGACACAUUGGAAUGUAUUCACUAAUACAUCCACAGUGAGCUAUUGUAGGCGGUGAAACGCCAGUACUGAUGAAGUGUGUUAACAUGUUAAUGUGUAUAUAAUUUGGAUUACAUAAUGUUUGAGACAUGGGAAAUGUUGAACAAAUAAAUGAUAUUUUGAUUAUGUUUCAUUUACAAAUAUCUACUGUGUUUUCUUCUGUGCUUUUGAUAUUAAUGCAUCUCUUUUUCUCUUUCUAAACAGCAAGCUCUCUGCCGAUAAAGAUCUUACUUUUCCUGAACAUUUGGGUCAAGUCUGGUAAAGGUUCUCAAAACAAAUACCAAGACCUCAUUUGGAAGUUACAAAGCACACAGUAUGAGCAAGGGCCUUCAGGGAUGAAGCUGUGCAUCCCGCUGUCGCAUGUUUUAGCCCAUUUACUUCAAAUCCAAUUCACCUCUUUUCAUACGUUUCGUUAAAAUCUAAAACCUCUUUGUCCUCGAUUCAGUAUGCGACCUCAUUUCCCUCCGCUUACCGUUUUCUUUGUUCUGCUGUCAUUGUGGUAGUGCAGUUGGAGAAUGUUCCUAUGAUUAUAUUUAUAAAAUGUCACAAUAGCUGUCUUGUCCAAGAAGUGCAAUAUGACAAUAAUGAACUUCUUACAUAAGAAGUGGGUGAAAUCACAGUAAUAGUGUCAGAAAGGAUGCACAUUAUUAACUUUAAAGCUGCAUCGUCUUUGUCUUGCAAUGUCUUUUUUUUUUUUUUUUUUGCAUCAAUGGGCAAAUAUUGCAUAAUUUCACUAUUGUCACAACUUGUAAUCCAAGUUGUCUGACGAAAUAUGAUUUCAUUUCAUCCCUGUGGGAUGUAGAAAAUAUACAAUCAGUCUUUGCAGAAUUUGGUUACUCACUAUUGUGUCCGGUCCAGUAGGAAGCUUCUAACAGGCAUGAACUGUUUUAUUCCCUGAGCUGAAAUGAAACAUUCAAUUUUACGAUGGUUUGUGCAUCUUUCUCAGCUCUUCACUGAAUGUGGAACACAGUUUUCUUUGGCGUCAGACAGUCACGUCUCUGGGAUUUCCACUCGAAACACCUGAACCUGAAACUUUUUAGUGUGCUGUUGACUGCACUGCCACACAGAUAAUACAGUACAGCUUAACACAAGUUGAGUUUGAUGCUGCACUUAAACAUAGGCAACUAUAAAAAACUGACAAAAUGGUUUGUCUUGGUGAAGGAGUAGCCUGCUGUGGAGGAUAUGUAGUACAUGGGUUAAAACCUGCACAGUACAGCAGUUAGAUGCAGAAAUUAAAUUUCAAACCAUGUCUUGUACCGAAGAUCACCUGACAAAGUAUAGUAAAAUUUAUAAGCUCAGAAAUAAAGCUCUUGUAUGAAGACUUAAGACAGACAGCUGACACUUGAUCCUCUAAUGGAUCUUAUGCGGGACUGAAUAAGAGAUCAAAUUAGUUUAUCAAGAUGUUACUUUGAAAACGGCUAAAACACCAACAUUGUGAAUUGAGAUGAAUCCUUUGGAGGCAUUUGUUACUCAAUGUUUUUACUUGUAAUAUUUUAACUGAAAAUGUUUUUCUCCAGUUACAUAGUUUUAGUGAAAGUACCUGAAGAUCAUGUUUGUUUUCAGUUCACAUCACCAGAAAACAACAAUGGUCUGAAGUCAUCCAGAACCAAGGAGGGGGGGAAAAAAAGAAAGUUGUCCUUUAGUUUUCCAAUCAUAUCACCCAGAUCUUGCUAGAAGUGAGUAGUUUAUCAGCAUCCUGUAAGGGUGUGUACUGUAUAUGUUAAUAUAAGUGGAACAUAUGAGAGCUGCCUCUGAAGCAGACUGACCUUUGAGGGACUAAAAUAACAGAUUAGAAUAUUAUAUUUAUGUAGAAUUACCUCUAGAUUCUUAGGUGCCUUAUUAAUAAACAUGCACACUAAAUGCAUUUGGGGGCAUAAUGUGGGUGCAAAAUAUGUAGCAUAAAAGUAAUUGAAUGUGAUAACUAUAAUUAAAAUGUAUUUUUCACAGGACAUGUAGUAAUCUGACAUAUUUUGAAAGUAAGUGCAAGAGAUGAAGUGAUCAGUAAAGAACAUUUCUAAUAAAACAGGCACAAGGGACUUAAUAUUAAUCAAUUAGUGGAACUACGAAAAAAUGUGUGAAUUACAUUGUACUGUCGCCAUAUUCCUGUUUUCUGCUCCUGUUAAAUGGACCAGAACCACUGUUUGCAUUAGUUCGAAGGCGUGCUAGGUUAAGAGUAAUAAUCCAGAGUGUGUGGAUUUUCAAGUGUUUUUGGCUGCAAAUACAGACCAUUCUUAUAACUGAAUAAAAAUGUAAGACCUGAAAACUAAUAAAUUCAGCCCCGUCACUGGUGGACGUAGACAGAGGCCUAUUCAGGUCCAGGUAAUCGGCAUAAACCCAAGUGUACUACCAAGUACCAUUUGAUUAUACAGCCAUAGAUUUAGGUCAGUAUUUGAACAAAUAAGCAUUAGAGCUGUCCUGUUAUGUGUGAAUGCUGACAAAACACCUGCAGCCCUGUUUAUGUAAGAGCCAUUUCGUCAUACAGUUGGAUUUAAUCUGUCCAGGGGAUGUUUCUGACCUUGAACACAACCUGAUCCAGGGUUCAUGGAUUUAUUCACAUAUCUGAUCUUAGACGUGGAGUGUUUUAUGGAGUAACUGAGGUUUCCAACAGGACAUUAAAACAUCUCUGUGACCUUCAGUCUGUAGUCCUCAAAAUGUGUCUUUGGAUGAGGAGGAUUACAUAACCUGGUUCGGUUAGAGGAGUGGUCCAGGUCCAGACGCCACCUUGUGGAGAAUGCACCAAAAUCAUCUGAAAACGACUUGUCUCCUUGUGAAUUCAGGUGUACAAAUGAACACAGGGUCCAAGACAUGUUUACAGCAGAGGAUUUCAGUGCUCAGUAUAAGCAAGCACCUAAAAAUAGUGUGAAGUCAGUGUAAAGCUGCUGGUGUUGCAGUUUGUCAAUCACUGAACAUCCCAAACAUCUAACAAUAGACACAUCUCCCAUAACUGAACAAUAUUUCACAUGAGCCAGAUUUGUAGAGCAAUAACUUAAUACUCCAAAUUAAUUUAUCACUGUCACCGCUAUAGUUUAAAUCCACUAUUGAAAUGGAUGCUCUAUCUCCCAGAACUCUUUAACACAAACACAUGACUCCACACUCACCUUCAUAAACUACAAAAGUCUAUUUCAGUGCCAAAGCUUUCAGUCAAAACCAUUUAACCUGAAGUCAAAUGCGCAGACACUUCACAACAGUCACUACACAAUGGUGAGAUUAAUUCACUAUAGGAAAAACCUGUGAAGAUGAGCUAUAAGUUUGCAUUUGUUCUGGGAAAACUGGAGCAUCAACUUCAAGAAAUGUCUGAACUUGAGAAAAACUUUACAUUUCUGUCAGAUGAUGAAUAAGUACUCGAAAAGUACAGAUAAAAACAUAAUAUACAGGGAUUAGAAGUAUUUUACUUUUGUUUCAGCUGCAUAUUGUUACUUACCG
ensembl:lncRNA